GCAAAUAGCAAUAAUAGAAUGGGAGAAGGCAUGUGGGUAGAAUGCACAGGUCAGGGGUAAGCAGAGAGCAAUGAUAUAGUGGUACCGGGCCAAGAGGACAAGAUUGGGGAGUGGGAGGUAAUCAUAAUGCUUGAGAAACAGAUGU